CCUACGGGUGGCAGCAGUGAGGAAUAUUGGUCAAUGGGAGGAAUCCUGAACCAGCCAUGCCGCGUGCAGGACGACGGCUCUACGAGUUGUAAACUGCUUUUGUACCGGGGUAAAAUGCUCGACGAGUAGGGGUUUGAAAGUACGGUACGAAUAAGGAUCGGCUAAGUCCGUGCCAGAAGCCGCUGUAAGACGGAUGAUUCGAGCGUUAUCCGGAUUCAUUGGGUUUAAAGGGUGCAGAGGUUGGUUUAUAAGUUAGCGGUGAAAUAUCGAUGCUCAACAUCGGGGCUGCCGCUGAUACUGUAGGACUAGAGAUCGCAUGCAGCAGGCGGAAUGUGUAGUGUAGCGGUGAAAUGCAUAGAUAUUACACAGAACACCGAUUGCGAAGGCAGCUUGCUAGGCCGGAUCUGACACUGAUGCACGAAAGCGUGGGGAUCGAACAGGAUUAGAUACCCCUGUAGUC
rnacentral:rRNA from 1 species